GAGCCCGUGAAUCCGGACGACGGAAUUCAGGAUCGCGGUCGCCGGUUCGCCCGGCGCUCGCGGUUUGAUAUUUCCGUCGUCGCGCGGACGUCGCGACCUGUUCGACGUCGGCCCACGUUCGGAGGAACCGCGAUCGAGUUCGCCGCGCGAACGCGUUUCGGCGCGUUCGAUGUCGGCGAAGGCGCGGACUUCCGGCCGACUGGUCGGACAGUAUGCGGAACGGCGGACGGCGUCGUUACCUCGUGUACGCGGCGCCGUUGCCGGUCGGCGACGAUUUCUUCGGGCCUCUUUCCGACC
rnacentral:rRNA from 1 species